CGCCGGGAAACUCACCAGAUAAGACAGCUGAAUGAUAGUCGGGCUGAAGACUCUACUUGACUAGCUGAGAGGAGGUGCAUGGCCGUCGUCAGUUCGUACUGUGAAGCAUCCUGUUAAGUCAGGCAACGAGCGAGACCCACGCCAACAGUUGCCAGCUCGUCCUCCGGGAUGGUGGGGACACUGUUGGGACCGCCUCUGCUAAAGAGGAGGAAGGAAUGGGCAACGGUAGGUCAGCAUGCCCCGAAUUAUCUGGGCUACACGCGGGCUACAAUGGGUGGGACAAUGGGUAUCGACACCGAAAGGUGAAGGCAAUCUCCUAAACCCAUCCGUAGUUCGGAUUGUGGGCUGCAACUCGCCCACAUGAAGCUGGAAUCUGUAGUAAUCGUGUCUCAAAAUGGCACGGUGAAUAUGUCCCUGCUCCUU
rnacentral:rRNA from 1 species